rnacentral:rRNA from 1 species
AUGGCGCCCUUCAUCGUGAUCGGCCUGGUGCUCGGCCUGGACCUGCUCGCCUUCGUCCUCGCCAUCGGCGGAGAGCUGCCCCGGAGAGCGGAUUACGUGAACGUGUUGGUGUUCGACGACGACCCCGAGAGGCCCUUCUGCCUGUACGGGCUCGGCACGGAGGCGUCGACGUGGUAUGGCCCCGGCGCGAUCGUCCUGCUGAUGGCGGGGCAGGCCGUGGCCAUGGCGGCCACCCGGUGCUUCUGCUGCGGCCGCCCGCUCUCGCCCGGCCGCUGGCGCUCCUUCUCCGGUCUCUUCUUCAUCCUCUCCUGGUAA